rnacentral:rRNA from 1 species
AAACUCUGAUAUCAUGUGUGGUCCGAGUCAUAUGCAAUAACUAAAACUUUCAACAACGGAUCUCUUGGUUCUGGCAUCGAUGAAGAACGCAGCGAAAUGCGAUAAGUAAUGUGAAAUGCAGAAUUCAGUGAAUCAUCGAAUCUUUGAACGCACAUUGCGCCCCUUGGUAUUCCGAGGGGCAUACCUGUUCGAGCGUCAUUA